rnacentral:rRNA from 1 species
GAUGAACGCUGGCGGCGUGCCUAAUACAUGCAAGUCGAGCGAAGCGGGGACGGGUGAGUAACACGUGGAUAACCUCCUAUAUGACUGGGAUAACUUCGGGAAACCGGAGCUAAACCGGCUUCUUCUAGAUGGAUCUGCGCUGCAUUAGCUAGUUGGUUGGGUAACGGCUUCACAAGGCAACGAUGCAUCACCGACCUGAGAGGGGGAUCGGCCACACUGGAACUGAGACACGGUCCAGACUCCUACGGGAGGCAGCAGUAGGGAAUCUUGCGCAAUGGGCGAAAGCCUGACUGAGCAAUGCCGCGUGAGUGAUGAAGGUCUUCGGAUCGUAAAACUCUGUUAUUAGGGAAGCGGUACCUAAUCAGAAAGCCACGUCUAACUACGUGCCAGCAGCCGCGGUAAUAC